GACGAGCUGAGAGAAGUCAGUCUGGCCGCGCGCGCCUACGAUCACUGUCGACCGCCGGUCUCGCCUCGUUCUCUACCCGCACCGGCGGGACGGUCGUCCACAAUUCAGUGUUUUUGUGUCUUAUUUGCCUAACUAGUAAAUUCAAUCACUUAUUCUGUGUCCCUUAUUCUCUACUUAUUUUCCUAUCGCAAUUCUGCUUGGUUCCGUGUCACGAAUAAUGCGACCAAACUUGUGAGAAAUAAUAGAAAACUUCUUUACACACUCUAUAUUUUUGUUUAUUGAUAAAUUGUAAAAUCAUUCCAUUUGAUAAAUCGAACUUUAUUUUGCACACAUCCCGAUGCGUUUAUUAUAUUAUAUAGCGAUUACGAGCCGCAUUCUUGCACGCUCUCUCACGUGGACCGCGCGGUGGCCGCGAAUUUAAAUUACGAGGAUUCUAGUUCGUUGCCGCGCACACGGAAUGCCUUAAUUUCUACGUUGGUCCCGUUAUCGCAACCACUCUGGUCCAUCGUGGGUCACUCUUUUCGUUCUAGGAAUGAAAUUCCCCGUGACCUUUCCUUGCGCCGCCUGAAGCUUCGCCGGGCUUUGCCAAAAGUUUAAUUAAACAAGAAUACAACGAAAGAGGCGAAAUCCUCUUUGCGCGAUCGACUUCGACUUAAUGGAACCUCGCAUAACUUGGUAUAAAGCCUCGCAUCUCGCACGAAGGUACAAGCAGUUAUUAGUGGAAUCUUUUUUCACCGGGUAUAAAUUUACUGGCUCCGAAGAUAAAGCGUUGGACCUUUGACAGAGUAAUAGAUUGCCUCGGGAUUGAAAUGAAGAAAUAGCUGGUAGAGACUGCGUGGGAGACAAUAUGCCCCGAGAAUGUAAAUAGAUACUGAUGGUAGCGAAGUUCCGACCGAUGAGUCGUUGCUCCUUUUGCGAUAAAUGGUCUUCGGGGCUACGUGAAGCUAAAAUGUUCGCAGACGAGUAAAAUAUGGGAUGAAAAAUUUUCCGUGUACAUAGGAACACACUCAGCUCUGAUGAGAAGAGAUUGCAAUUUCUCGGAGUUGAAGAAGUUUUGGAAAUACGACCGGCACUCGACACUCGAUUUUUUAGGACAAAGUCCAUGAACUUUUCUUUAGACAGUCUACGAAAAUAAACGAGCAUGUUAGAUGUGACGCAGAAAUAGAACGUAUCAGGGAUCGCAAGUCCCAUUUGCAUACAAUCGCAGCAAUGCCUUUGCUCUAGAUUUGGAGAACGGAUUGAUGACUAAAAAGAUCGCUCUGUCUCCAACAAGGACAAUUGGACAGUGGAUAACGAGAUGCGAAGUAAAAGUACAAGCAUCUGAUCAAGUUCCAGAUUGUAUUUUGUAUUCGAUUUAAAAAUACACGGAGUGAAUCAAUAAUAAUAAUGAGACAAUUAAUUCCUAUCUGAUCUCAU